AUCCCGUCAAACGAGUCUGCUUCAGGACAGAUUGUCAACAGAGUAUGGAUGUCUUUUUUUUUUUCUUCAUGUUGGAGGAAUGUCACUCGGCCAGUUGAAAAGAUGCAGACGAGAAAAACACAACAAUAGAAGAGGUUGGGCAACAUUCCAAACUGGUAACGCAGAAGACGACUUAGUACUUAUAUUAUAACAUACAUACAGAACAUUACCUAAACAACAUGUCAUCAUCAUCAUCGUCGACUCUGGCCAUGAAACAGGGAGUCGCCGGAUGAAGACGGUCACACAGGCCGGAAUACGGCGCAACCUCGAAAUACGAACGAUGGAUAAGCAGUGGUUGCUUCCCAAUGUAUGUUUUGCCACAUUAAAAUGAAACUUAAUCACA